AUUGAACGCUGGCGGCAGGCCUAACACAUGCAAGUCGAACGAGUGGCGGACGGGUGAGUAAUGUCUGGGAAACUGCCCGAUGGAGGGGGAUAACUACUGGAAACGGUAGCUAAUACCGCAUACCAUCGGAUGUGCCCAGAUGGGAUUAGCUAGUAGGUGGGGUAAUGGCUCACCUAGGCGACGAUCCCUAGCUGGUCUGAGAGGAUGACCAGCCUCCCUUGAACUGGGACAAGGGCCAGGGUCCUUCGGUGGGCAACAGUUGGGAAUAUUGCACAAUGGGCGCAAGCCUGAUGCAGCCAUGCCGCGUGUAUGAAGAAGGCCUUCGGGUUGUAAAGUACUUUCAGCGGGGAGGCGUUACUCGCAGAAGAAGCACCGGCUAACUCCGUGCCAGCAGCCGCGGUAAUAC
rnacentral:rRNA from 1 species